rnacentral:rRNA from 1 species
AGUGAACGCUGGCGGUAGGCCUAACACAUGCAAGUCGAACGGAAGCACAGUAAGAGCUUGCUCUUACGGGUGGCGAGUGGCGGACGGGUGAGGAAUACAUCGGAAUCUACUUUUUCGUGGGGGAUAACGUAGGGAAACUUACGCUAAUACCGCAUACGACCUACGGGUGAAAGCAGGGGAUCUUCGGACCUUGCGCGAUUGAAUGAGCCGAUGUCGGAUUAGCUAGUUGGGGGGGUAAAGGCCCACCAAGGCGACGAUCCGUAGCUGGUCUGAGAGGAUGAUCAGCCACACUGGAACUGAGACACGGUCCAGACUCCUACGGGAGGCAGCAGUGGGGAAUAUUGGACAAUGGGCGCAAGCCUGAUCCAGCCAUACCGCGUGGGUGAAGAAGGACUUCGGGUUGUAAAGCCCUUUUGUUGGGAAAGAAAAGCAGCAGGUUAAUCCCCCGCUGUUCUGACGGUACCCAAAGAAUAAGCACCGGCUAACUUCGUG